UACGUAGGGUGCGAGCGUUGUCCGGAAUUAUUGGGCGUAAAGGGCUCGUAGGCGGUUUGUCGCGUCGGGAGUGAAAUCAUCUGGCUUAACUGGGUGCUUGCUUUCGAUACGGGCAGACUAGAGGUAUGCAGGGGAGAACGGAAUUCCUGGUGUAGCAGUGAAAUGCGCAGAUAUCAGGAGGAACACCGGUGGCGAAGGCGGUUCUCUGGGCAUGAUCUGACGCUGAGGAGCGAAAGUGUGGGGAGCGAACAGG
rnacentral:rRNA from 1 species